ACGCCAGCAAAAUAUGGCGUCGGGAUUGGCGUCCCGGAUGUUAAGAGGCGACACCAGAUGCGCCAGCGUCUUUUUU
rnacentral:sRNA from 1 species